rnacentral:sRNA from 1 species
CAACUCCUUGUGUGUUUAGUGUUGGCAAAUACUCCGUUUUCGGAGCUUUGAACUCCAGUUCCCCUCCCCCGGGAACUGGAGUUUUUUUCUUAUUCUU